UGCGCGCGUUAAUCGGACUUACUGGGCGUAAAGCGUGCGCAGGCGGUUCGUUAAGUCAGCUGUGAAAGCCCCGGGCUCAACCUGGGAAUUGCGGUUGAAACUGGCGAACUAGAAUCUGGCAGAGGGGGGUGGAAUUCCACGUGUAGCAGUGAAAUGCGUAGAUAUCAGGAGGAACACCGAUGGCGAAGGCAGGUCUCUGGGCUGAUACUGACGCUCAUGCACGAAAGCGUGGGGAGCAAACAGG
rnacentral:rRNA from 1 species